rnacentral:pre_miRNA from 1 species
UGUUAAUUCUCACUUGGGCGACGGAAAGGCCACCGUGUAUGGAUGGGGGUGGGGGUUCGGGGUUUUUCUCGCCGGGUGAGAAGGCA